UAAGUCGUUAGAAGCCCUCGUCUAGAGGGGUAAAUGGGUCUUUUCCCACCUUAUAUCAUCCUCUAAAACACGAGAUUAAGCCGCUUUAGUGGCAAAAUCCAUUCUCUAUUCUCAAAAUUACUCAAGAACAAAACCCUAGGGCUUCCAAUUCAAGAUUUAAGCUUCAAGGAAACACCAUCAACCUUCAUUAAUUCAUGUACGAAGGUAUGUGAAGUGUUCAUCCAAG
rnacentral:lncRNA from 1 species